UUUGCUAUGAUGAGAUAAAGCACAAGCUCUGUGUUUGAGGCAGUGGAUUCCGAUCCGUGAGCUUUCUAAAUUAACGACUUCUCCUUCCACUGAGAAAA